rnacentral:lncRNA from 1 species
AAAGAAAUGAGGAAAAUGAGAGAGUACUUCACUGCUCAACAAUCACAUGUCCCGCUUACGACGACAUCGCCUGUUUCAAUUGAAUGACCACUGUUUUUGUCUGCUGACCAAGUUAGUCACUAUAUACCCGACUUUCUAAUUUUUUUUCAAGAUUUGCAUAUAGCCAAUCUUGGCUAAUAAACUCAUAAUUUGGUAAUUUAUUCCUUUUGAUUUUUGGAACUCAAGAUUUCUGGGUUAAGCAUUAAAUAGAUCAUUAGCAACAUCUCUGAAGUUGGUUGUGUGCCAUUUUUUGAAGUCAAAGGGCAGUAAAUUUGUUACUUUAGUUUGUUAUUCUAGCUGGUUGCUCUUUGUGUAUGAGUCUGAGGGUUCUAUCUCUUUUUUGCAUUGUUGAAGUUAAAAGCAUUCCUGUUUCUGGUACUUUAACUCCAAAAGUAUGAGCCACAUCUGAUUGAUUACAAGUAGAAAUCGAUUACUUAUAGCAGAAAAUUCUGCCAUAAAUUUUUCUUCACUUCUUGUUUUUGUGUUUUCUGAAAAGUUUCAAGUAUUGAUCUACCAUUGCAUUACUAAUACUACUAUAGAAAAAAUGUACUCUACGCUUUUCUACAACCUACUUUAUUCAUACAUUUUGCUUAACUUGGCUACGAAGCAUUUAUAUAUUGCUGAUACAACACACUUGUCCGAUGUUUCUAGAGCUCUUCACAACAUUUCCCUUUCAUGUCCUUAGCUGGUUGGGGAUCGUAACGAUGCUGUAUUUGGUGGCCUAGUUGAUGCACCUUUAAGGGAAACUAUAUCAGCCAAAACUAGUUGAUAGAAAUCAAAAUAGCUGGGACAAUAGCUUUCCUAACAGUGGCAGAUUCUAAAGCAUAACAAGCAAAAAUCCCUGUUGCAUUCAAUGGAACAGUUGGUUCACAUUUGAAUCCCUCUCAGCUGCAGUAACGACCUGCUUAUUACAAUCUGUAGAAGCUCUUUUAACAUGGCUAUUUCCUAACAGUAAGAGACUCUAAAGUUCAACUACUGCUUGGUUUAACAUGGCUGUUUGUGGACCAGCAAUGGUUGUUUAUCGCUAGCGUCUCUAGUAGAUGUCUACCAAAUACAUCAAUUUCCUAAAUUAGAAUCUUUAAAGAUUGAAAUGACUGUAAUGAUGAAACAGUAGUAUUUUGUCAUUGACUGAUUUUACACAACCUAAAUGCCUGAAUUGAACACUGAACUUCCCAGGCUCUUGGUCAAGCUAGAAAUUAGCCUAGUGAUGUUGUCUGUUCAUAAUAGUUGGUAUCUCGAAUGGUAAAUCUCGAAUUGUCGUAGUGAAAUUUAUCAAACCAAAGUAAGAUUAACCAUUCCAAAGCAUUUCUAAUUAAUUUUUCUUAUAUUCUUGUAGCCUUGUUGAUGUUGCUGGAUAACACCUCGUGCAUUUAGACUGCUUUUGGGGUUUAACUAUUGCUCAUUUUAAAUUAUAAAUGUUAUUUUACCAAUACUUUUUUAUCAUUAUUUUUCAAUCUUUUGUACUUAUAGGUUUUGAAGAUUGAAGCUACAAGUCAAGGUGCAAGCCUAGAGAUGCACAAGCUCAUUAUUAUUUUGCUAAAAAUGUCAUGCAAAACUUGAUAUUAG